AACGAACGCUGGCAGCAGGCCUAACACAUGCAAGUCGAACGCACCGCAAGGUGAGUGGCGCACGGGUGAGUAACACGUGGGAAUGUACCCUUUGGUUCGGAAUAACGUUUGGAAACGAACGCUAAUACCGGAUGAGCCCUACGGGGGAAAGAUUUAUCGCCAAAGGAGCAGCCCGCGUCUGAUUAGGUAGUUGGUGGGGUAAAGGCCUACCAAGCCGACGAUCAGUAGCUGGUCUGAGAGGAUGAUCAGCCACACUGGGACUGAGACACGGCCCAGACUCCUGCGGGAGGCAGCAGUGGGGAAUAUUGGACAAUGGGCGCAAGCCUGAUCCAGCCAUGCCGCGUGAGUGAUGAAGGCCUUCGGGUUGUAAAGCUCUUUCGCACACGACGAUGAUGACGGUAGUGUGAGAAGAAGCCCCGGCUAACUUCGUGCCAGCCGCCGCCGUAA
rnacentral:rRNA from 1 species